ACUGUCACUGUGUUCCAUCUCAGUAAAGAAACAAGAAGGGCCCUAGCCUGAUGACCACUGUGGCCAUGCCUGUGUUCAGCACCAAGAACGAGACCAAGAACCAGGGUAUUCUCCUAGGGGUAGUGGGCACAGACAUUCCUCUUCAGGAACUCAUGAAGAUCAUCCCUAAACACCUGCUGGGUAUCCACGGUUACGCCUUUGCCAUCACAAACAACAGCUACAUCCUGACCCAUCCGGACCUGAAGCCACUGG